AAAAUAGUUCCGUUCGCAUAACACCGCCAAAAUCAGAUGGAGCUCUGAUAUGGUUUCUUCCACGAGUUAAGAAAAAAGUGAAGAAAAGAAGUUCGAGAGCCAUCCAGAAAUCGUUUUUAUCUGUCCUGGCUUCUAUUGGAAAUCCUCUCUUGGUCAGGUCUUUUUUUUUUAUGAGGGGAGCAGAAGAUCCAGAAGCUCCAGUCCUUGAAUCACAUCAAGUGAACCAUUGAUCCAUAGAUGGCGAGCCUUCCCAAUGAGCCGUGAACUUUUACCACAGGAUUCCGGAAGCUGUGGUAGGAUCGUGUCAGUUCACCGAACCGGCAUCAACAAGGUUUUCCUUUUUUGAAGUAUUUACCCUUGACUUUGACUAUUCUUUUUUUUUUACUGACUUGAACUCUGACUUAAACUCUGGAAUACCUAAGGACGACUUCCAAGGAACAUUUUCAAGAAGGACAUUUUAUUUUAUUCAAAAUUUAUUUGGGCCCAUAGGU